CCUACGGGUGGCAGCAGUGAGGAAUAUUGGUCAAUGGACGAGAGUCUGAACCAGCCAAGUAGCGUGAAGGAUGACUGCCCUAUGGGUUGUAAACUUCUUUUAUAUGGGAAUAAAAUGUUCCACGUGUGGGAUUUUGUAUGUACCAUAUGAAUAAGGAUCGGCUAACUCCGUGCCAGCAGCCGCGGUAAUACGGAGGAUCCGAGCGUUAUCCGGAUUUAUUGGGUUUAAAGGGAGCGUAGGUGGAUUGUUAAGUCAGUUGUGAAAGUUUGCGGCUCAACCGUAAAAUUGCCGUUGAAACUGGCAGUCUUGAGUACAGUAGAGGUGGGCGGAAUGCGUGGUGUAGCGGUGAAAUGCUUAGAUAUCACGAAGAACUCCGAUUGCGAAGGCAGUUCACUGGACUGCAACUGACACUGAGGCUCGAAAGUGUGGGUAUCAAACAGGAUUAGAUACCCUUGUAGUC
rnacentral:rRNA from 1 species